ensembl:lncRNA
UCAGGAUUGCUUUGGCAAUUCUGUGUUGUUUAUGGCUCCAUAUAUGUUUUUGGAUUGUUUGUUCUAGUUUUGUGAAAAAUGUCAUGGGUAAUUUGAUAGGGAUUACAUUGAAUCUGUAGAUUUCUUUGGGUAGUAUGAUCAUUUUAACGAUAUUAAUUCUUCCAAUCCAGGAGCGUGGAGUAUCUUUCCAUUUCUUUGAAUCCUCUUUAACUUCCUUGAUUAAUGUUUUACAGUUCUCAGCAUAUAAAUCUUUCACUUCCUUGCUCAGGUUUAUUCUUAGGCAUUUGAUUCUUUUGGGUGCUAUUGUAAGAAGUAUUUUUUUUUUGCAUUCCUUUUCUAAUAUUUCAUUGUUAGUAUAUAGAAAUUCAACUGAUUUCUGAUUGAUGAUCAGAUUGAGUUGUUUUUGUGUGAGUCCUUAGGGUUUUCUGUAUAUCAUAUCAUGUCAUCGGCAUAUAGUGACAAUUUUACCUCUUCUUGAAGAGCCUUUCUUAGGCAGUGGCAAAAUGAUAAGCUCCCAUCAAGGAGCGACCACAUCUUUCUCCAUCACCCUACUCCCAACCUCUGGCACAGAGCCUGGUGCAUAAGAGACCCUAUUUGUUGAACAGAGUUUAAGCAACAUUAGAACUUUCUGAAGAAAAUGCCUUAAAGUUGAGUUUUUCCUCACAUUUAUUGGUUUAAAUAAGUAAAAUUCAUUGAGCAGACCUCUAGACACACAGCAGGCUCUUAGAAAACACAUGCAGUCUGCAGGGACAGUUCCUAUGUUAAAGAGGCACCUCGUUUCCAAGGAAACACUCUUAGCCUUGUGCUCAACCUUGCGUCUUGUCCUCGAGAGGCCACGUGAGCGCAUAAGUGUCCCUACCUAGGCAAGAGGCCUGGUCUGAGGAGCUCAUAUGCAACAUUUUAUCCAAUGUCACCAACUUCCUCUAAAAUAUUUGAUUUAACAGAUCUCCAACCUUCUCUUUAUUCCCAGAAUCCAAAAGAUUGUGCUUAAUGUGGUGUCUAAAUUCUUUCCCUUUUGCUAUUCCUAUGUAAUUCUGGAGCACUCUGCACACAUAAAGUGUUUUGCAGUGGCAUUUUGUUUAUGCCAGAGAUGAAUCCCUUUGAAAUCCACCCUCAGUGAAACAGUCUUUAAGGGAUGUGCUGUUAACCUGUAGUCACAGAAAUCAGGGAAGGUAUAAGAAGAGGGCUGAGAUAAUAGGAAAAUCACAGUGAGAAACUGAAGUCUGUCUCAAAGCUUUCUCAUAGACUGAAGGUUUGUGUCCCCCCCCCCAAGUUCAAACCCUAAACCCCAAACCCAAAGUGAUGGUAUUAGAGGUGGAGGCCUUGGGGAGGUGGUUAAGUCAUGAGGGUGGGGUCCUUAGGAAAGGGAUCCGUUCCCUCAUACAAGAGAUUCUGGAGAGCUCGCCAUUCUUUCCACCCCACGAGGACACAGCGAGAAGACAGGUGUCUCAGAACCAAAAAUCAGGCCUCCCCAGACAUCAGAUCUGCAGGCACCUUAAUCUUGGAUGCCACACCCCUAGAACAGUGAGAAAUAAGUUAUGUUGUUGAUAAGCUACCCAGUCUGUGACAUUUUGUGACAGCAGCCUGAACGGGCAAGACAUUAGGGAAUUAAGUCAAAUCAUCUGUGCACUUGUGUUACUUGGCACAGGGCAUAUCAGAUAGUUCAAAAAAUGGAGUCCUGAUAAUGAUUAUAGUUAAUAUUAUAAAAAGAGAAAUGCCUGAAUGUCAUGUUACUUAUUUCCUAAAAUAUUUUAUUCGUCAAAUUUUCUGAGUCCGUAAAACUGUCGCAGCUCUGCCCUUGAGAAGUGUUCGAGAGAACAUCCAAUACUCAGGCUUUAUUAAACAGCACAGUGUUCUCAACAGCUUUGAAGUCUAGGGCACCCUGGUAACAUUAUAGAUGCCAGUGACUUUGGCGUGAUUUUGUGGUUGGUGUCCUUGGGACAAAAUCUGGAUGCAUAGAGGUGUGUGCACGUGCAUGCCUGUGUGUGUGUGUGUGUGUGUGUGUGCAUGUGUGUAUGUCCGUGUGCGUGCACGUGUGUGUGUGCAUGUGUGUACAUUGAUGACAUGUCAUGGCAUGAAGCACAUGUCCCCGGGGAGGCAGAUACCGGCAGUGCUUCCGUGUUGUGUGGCAGGCAGUCCUCUCUUAGCUACAGCUGCCUGGGUACUAAGUACAGCAGACGGGCAAACCGGCCAUGGGGGAACCAGGAUGUAGAGGGCACAGGUGGGUAAAUUACAGACCUGAUUUUGAAGGAAUUUACUUCCAGUGAAAACUGAAGUGAGCAUAGUCUUUAAUUUAUGCUUUGGAAAAUAUGUAGAUGUACUACUCACAUAGAGAAGUCAUUAUUAGAAGUUGCUCUGACUUUAUAAAGGUCCAGGUGCACAUUCUCGGCUAGAGCAUGCUGGUUGAUUGGUGCCGUUUCCUUUUUGGUAUUUUAAAGGACCCCCGGGACUAUCUGAUGGUAGCUUUAUCGUUGCUUGCAUUCUGAUCACUUUGGUGUUGACAUGCAUCGUGCAUCAGGUGUGGGCUUGACGGAGAUGACGCAGUGGUGGGCAAGUAGUUGGAAGUGCUGUUUUCAGAGGCUGUUGGAGGGCUGGACAGAAAAUUAAAUGGGACAUGAUAGGAAAUACUGGGGCGGGCAAGAGAGGCAUACUGUAUCUUCUGAAUUUUCUCAAAUUUGUGAACUCACUUUUUUCUAAACUCGUCUCUCUCAGGGCUGUGAAAGAUCAUUUAUUGCUGGCUGCUAUGUUGCUCUGAGUUUUAGCAUGUCGUUAAAGUCAAGCCUUAAAUUUUUGUGUUUCAAAGGCAAAAAGAAAGUUAAUAUAGUAAAUAUCUGUGUUCCUAAAAUUAAAAUUCAAUUAUAGAUAUUAGAGUACAUUGAACUUAGAACUUUCCCCUUAAGAAAUAGUUAUCAAAAAUAAAUGCAUAGGGGUUCUCAUCGUGGCUCAGCAGAAAUGAAUAUGGAUAGUAUACAUGAGGACGCAAGUUCGAUCCUUGGCCUUGCUCAGUAAGUUAAGGAUCCGGCAUUGCCAUGAGCUGUGGUGUAGGUUGCAGAUGUGGCUCGUAUCCCGCGUUGCUGUGGUUGUAGCCUAGGCUGGUGGCUGCAGCUCCUAUUCUAUCCCUAGCCUG